rnacentral:rRNA from 1 species
CAGGUCUUGACAUCCUUUGAAGCUUUUAGAGAUAGAAGUGUUCUCUUCGGAGACAAAGUGACAGGUGGUGCAUGGUCGUCGUCAGCUCGUGUCGUGAGAUGUUGGGUUAAGUCCCGCAACGAGCGCAACCCUUAUUGUUAGUUGCCAGCAUUCAGUUGGGCACUCUAGCGAGACUGCCGGUGACAAACCGGAGGAAGGCGGGGACGACGUCAGAUCAUCAUGCCCCUUAUGACCUGGGCUACACACGUGCUACAAUGGCGUAUACAACGAGUUGCCAACCUGCGAAGGUGAGCUAAUCUCUUAAAGUACGUCUCAGUUCGGACUGCAGUCUGCAACUCGACUGCACGAAGUCGGAAUCGCUAGUAAUCGCGGAUCAGCACGCCGCGGUGAAUACGUUCCC